rnacentral:lncRNA from 1 species
CCCGGACCCCCUGGGCCCCACCCUCAGCGCUCCCCACCGCUCGGCGCCCCUGCGUCUGCGCUCCCCUCUCUCCCCUCUCUAUCCACUGGGUCUGGGCCGCACUUCCCGCCCACCCGCCUGCCAGCGGCCGGGAAGCCUGUGGAAGUUAUGGGGAUGCAGGGAGAGGGGGAGAGGGGAGCUUGUGUGCUAGGGUCUGCAAAGCUCGUCUGCAUCAGACAGGAAUUUUCCCCAGACGCGGGUGCACGUGAAUUAAUUCAUCAGAAGGCGGUUCACGGCCUGAGUGAGGGGGACGAGGGCGGCGAAUUCCUCCGCCUCAUUCCUACCCUGACGAUUCGAGGUGGGUGAGAGGAAGGCGUGGGGCGGCUGGGUGCGUGGGGUGGGGGAAGGUCACCUCUUCGGCCUCUCUGGGCCCUCCAGCCUCUUCCUGAGAGGAGCUCGCCUCGGCCCCUUGGUUGGGGGGAUGGGAGCGUCUCCGGAAGGCCCUCGGCCGAGCAGCUGGGCCUGCACCCCUGGUCCCUUCCAGUUCGUUUCUGCUGCGGCGGCAAGAGGCUGGGGAGCCGAUGACUCACCCUGCCGGCUAAUUGCAGCGUUAAAUAACUUUGCGCCGGAUUCGGUGGCUGCAGCAGGGAACGCGCUCCGGGCGCCGGGGGAGGUGGAGGGACGCCCUGAGAACGCACCUCCGUCCCUGUCACCAGCCUUAGCAAGUUCUGGCCUGUGGAGCCGUCAUCCAGAGCGCACAGCUUCAUGCCCUUGAAGGGCGCAGUGUGUCCCGUGGUGCCCGGUGGGCCCGGACAGAGACCCCAGAGGCUCUGUCUGAAGGAAGCUGCACCCACAGACUCCAUCCAGGCAGCGCGGGCGCGGUCCUGUCGCCUACCUUUCUCGGAAGCCAUCUGCCCAUGUGAAUCUAUGUGAAGGCCCUUCAUGCGCUCCUGGACAUCUGCGUGGGAUUUACUUCAACUGCUAUCGCUGCGAGGAGGACGAGCAUGUUUCACUGUAUUUUUAGCAGAGAGUGCAGAUUUUAGAACCUCGCGAACGGUCCUGUAUCUCCUGCACGAUGACUCUCCAGAACAGGAAUAGUGACCCUUCCUUUGCAUUUAUGGUGCAUAGGUUUUCAAAGGACAGUGUGUAAAUCAGCUUGUGUAAUAAUUGUGGCACCCACGCGCGCAAGCAGACUUACCAUGAGCUGACUUCCACUGAUUAUUUCAGUUUCCAGGGAAACGAGGUUUGCAGCCCCCUCCAGUGAGGGCGGAGCGGCCUCUCCAUUCCCAAUGCAGCAAGGCUGCUGCAGCCACGAUGAUUAGGCUUUGGAGGAGGAAGUGAACGGAUGGGGCCUCAUCCUCCUGCCUCCCUAAAGGGUGAGGGUGGAAGGAUGGGGCUGUGCCCUCUUAGGGCAGGGAAAAACAGCUUGGAGGGGUUUCUGCCAUCAGAGAUCCCAUAGGAGGCAGGUCAGUCCUGCAGAAUUUCUCCCCAGUCUGGCCUCCAGCCUCCCUGGCCCCUUUCUAGAGGCCUCCAUCCCACUGGCGGCUUGCUCCUGCCACCGGGCCUCUGCACAGUCACCUCCUGCAGCCUGGGGUGUGUCGCCUCUCCACGUCCUCACCGGCGUCUGCCUUUGCAUUUCCCAGAUGCUCGCUUCACCCCACUGAGAUGUAACUCAGUUUUGUGGGAUCCCACUGCCCUCCAGGUGCCGCUCCGAGUGCUCUACACAGAUUUUCAUUCAGUCCUUGCGGCACACGAAGGUAGGCGGCCCCACUGCCCUCACAGAGG